rnacentral:tRNA from 1 species
GGAGGGGUCGCAUAAUGGUAGUGCAGCGGUUUGCUAAACCGUGACCGAGAAAUCGGUUUCCGGGUUCGAUUCCCGGUUCCUCCG